CCUACGGGAGGCAGCAGUGGGGAAUUUUGGACAAUGGGCGCAAGCCUGAUCCAGCAAUGCCGCGUGCAGGAUGAAGGCCUUCGGGUUGUAAACUGCUUUUGUACGGAACGAAACGGCUCUUUCUAAUAAAGAGAGCUAAUGACGGUACCGUAAGAAUAAGCACCGGCUAACUACGUGCCAGCAGCCGCGGUAAUACGUAGGGUGCGAGCGUUAAUCGGAAUUACUGGGCGUAAAGCGUGCGCAGGCGGUUAUAUAAGACAGAUGUGAAAUCCCCGGGCUCAACCUGGGACCUGCAUUUGUGACUGUAUAGCUAGAGUACGGUAGAGGGGGAUGGAAUUCCGCGUGUAGCAGUGAAAUGCGUAGAUAUGCGGAGGAACACCGAUGGCGAAGGCAAUCCCCUGGACCUGUACUGACGCUCAUGCACGAAAGCGUGGGGAGCAAACAGGAUUAGAUACCCUGGUAGUCCACGCCCUAAACGAUGUCAACUGGUUGUUGGGUCUUCACUGACUCAGUAACGAAGCUAACGCGUGAAGUUGACCGCCUGGGGGAGGACGGCCGCGAGUAGUAACGUAACGAAGUAGUAGUAGUACGCGUGAGACGACGACGACGACGACGACGGAGGGAGGAGG
rnacentral:rRNA from 1 species